rnacentral:rRNA from 1 species
GGACGAACGCUGGCGGCGUGCUUAACACAUGCAAGUCGGACGGUUCGCACUGGAAGGUUCGCUGGAAGGUGCGGAUAGUGGCGGACGGGUGAGUAACGCGUGAGGACAUGUCUGCAGGAGGGGGAUAACGUUUGGAAACGGACGCUAAGACCCCGUAUGCCGGAGGGUGAAAGUGGCGCAAGCCAGCCUGUGGAGUGACUCGCGUCCUAUCAGCUAGUUGGCGGGGUGAAGGCUCACCAAGGCUUCGAUGGGUAUGGGGUCUAAAAGGAUGGUCCCACACACUGGCACUGAGACACGGGCCAGACUCCUACGGGAGGCAGCAGUGAGGAAUAUUGGUCAAUGGGUGAGAGCCUGAACCAGCCAUCCCGCGUGCAGGAUGACGGUCCUAGUGAUUGUAAACUGCUUUUCUAUGAGAUGAAUAAGAGAUACGAGUAUUUCGAUGACCGUAUUAUAGGAAUAAGCAUCGGCUAACUCCGUGCCAGCAGCCGCGGUAAUACGGAGGAUGCAAGCGUUAUCCGGAUUUAUUAGGUUUAAAGGGUGCGUAGGUUGGCGUUUAAGUCAGUGGUUAAAGCCAUUAGCUUAACUAAUGUAUGCCAUUGAUACUGGAUGUCUUGAAUGUGGUAGAGGUAGGCGGAAUGUGUUGUGUAGCGGUGAAAUGCUUAGAUAUAACACAGAACACCGAUUGCGUAGGCAGCUUACUAUUCCAUUAUUGACGCUGAUGCACGAAAGCGUGGGGAUCAAACAGGAUUAGAUACCCUGGUAGUCCACGCUGUAAACUAUGAUCACUCGUUUUUGGCGAUAUAUAGUCAGAGACUGAGCGAAAGCAUUAAGUGAUCCACCUGGGGAGUAUGUUCGCAAGAAUGAAACUCAAAGGAAUUGACGGGGGCCCGCACAAGCGGAGGAACAUGUGGUUUAAUUCGAUGAUACGCGAGGAACCUUACCUGGGCUUAAAUGUAUAGUGCAUAAUGUGGAAACACAUUUUUCCUUCGGGACUCUUUACAAGGUGCUGCAUGGUUGUCGUCAGCUCGUGCCGUGAGGUGUCGGGUUAAGUCCCAUAACGAGCGCAACCCUCAUCGUUAGUUGCCAUCACGUUAAGGUGGGGACUCUAGCGAGACUGCCGGUGUAAACCGUGAGGAAGGUGGGGAUGACGUCAAAUCAGCACGGCCCUUAUGUCCAGGGCUACACACGUGUUACAAUGGCCAAUACAAAGGGCAGCCACCUGGCGACAGGGCGCUAAUCCUCAAAGUUGGUCUUAGUUCGGAUCGGAGUCUGCAACUCGACUCCGUGAAGCUGGAUUCGCUAGUAAUCGUAGAUCAGCCAUGCUAUGGUGAAUACGUUCCCGGGCCU